UACGGGGGGGGCAAGCGUUGUUCGGAAUUACUGGGCGUAAAGGGUUUGUAGGUGGCUUGCUAAGUCAGACGUGAAAUCCCUCAGCUUAACUGGGGAACUGCGUCUGAGACUGGCAGGCUUGAGUGCAGGAGAGGAACGCGGAAUUCCAGGUGUAGCGGUGAAAUGCGUAGAGAUCCGGAGGAACCCCUGAGGCGAAGGCGGCGUCCUGGCCCGAUUCUGACAUUCAGACACGACAGCAUGGGGAGCGAACGGG
rnacentral:rRNA from 1 species